ensembl:lncRNA
AUUAGGUUCAACAGUGUGUUAGGCAUUAGGUUCAACAGUGUGUUAGGCAUUAGGUUCAACAGUGUGGUUAGGCAUUAGGUGCAACAGUGUGGUUAGGCAUUAGGUUCAACAGUGUGGUUAGGCAUUAGGUUCAACAGUGUGUUAGGCAUUAGGUUCAACAGUGUAGUUAGGCAUUAGGUUCAACAGUGUAGUUAGGCAUUCGGUUCAACAGUGUGGUUAGGCAUUAGGUUCAACAGUGUGGUUAGGCAUUAGGUUCAACAGUGUGGUUAGGCAUUAGGUUCAACAGUGUGUUAGGCAUUAGGUUCAACAGUGUGGUUAGGGUUAGGCAUUCGGUUCAACAGUGUGUUAGGCAUUAGGUUCAACAGUGUGUUAGGCAUUAGGUUCAACAGUGUGUUAGGCAUUAGGUUCAACAGUGUGUUAGGCAUUAGGUUCAACAGUGUGUUAGGCAUUAGGUUCAACAGUGUGGUUAGGCAUUAGGUUCAACAGUGUGUUAGGCAUUAGGUUCAACAGUGUAGUUAGGCAUUAGGUUCAACAGUGG